UUUAUGUAUUCGUUAUUUUCCUAGUGUUCUUCAUCCGUACUAACAAAGGGAAAAAAGGAAACACACAAACACUUGCUUUGACAUCUCCCAUCCAUUGGUCAGCUGUACUUUUAAGAAGGAAGAAGAAAGGCUGCUGCUUGGCGGUGUGGAAUGCAAGGAGUAGUCAUUUAAAUGUUUUGUAAUUCUGAUUCUUGAGUCAUUUUUUUUAAGGUAGAAGGGACAUAAAUCAUUGUGCAGUUGUCCCCUGAACUUCGCUUCUCCCUAGUUGAAUGCAUAUUUGCGUGCAUUCGAGAAGAGCUGACUAACAAAGACAGGGCUGUCCUAACCUGCUUCCUUCUUCUCCAUUGACAAGAUUUUUCUCGACUGUGCUUUUUUUUUUCCUCCCUCCCCCCGCCCCCCUGCCCCAGCUAACCUGCAUAUCCAAAGGUCAGCUGGGGAAAUCAUUUAAGAAGAAACCUAAAGGAAGCUUCCAAUGUUCUGGACCACCCUAAAAGAGGAAGGAAGAAAAUGCUGGGGGAAGGCAAGGAUUCCGGGAAGCAGGAGAGGGGGCGGGCGCCACGGACACGGUGGCUUCUUCGUGCGCUGCCCUAGGGGAAGAGGAUGGGCCUGAGGUCCUGAGCCAGCUUCUCCGAGCCCCUACUUCAAAUGCGGGGAGGGAAAAGUUCAGAAGCAGCCACGAGGGGACAAAAGCCUAAUUUUUGUCAGUUGAACUGGAUGGGACAUUUCAUCAAUCCAGCCAGCGCUGGGAACGGGCAGGAGCUCCUGUUGGCUCCACAGAGGCUGGAGCAGCCCCUGCCGCCGCCCUCGCCACCGCCGCCGCCGCCGCGGCCCCUGCGUUACUGGGGGAGACGGUGCCGCUGCGACAGGGGAGGACGCGGCUGGAGCUCAAGGAGGCUCCAGCGCGCAGGCGCCGCCGAGCCCUGCCUGGUUGCUCAGUCAAGGCACUAAGGCAAAAAAAAAAACCCAGCAAUUUAUAGAAAGAAGAAGCUAUAGUCUGUCGGGAUAUCCAAGGCCAACAGGGGUUCUUUGGAUCCAUAUCAGCAGAGAAGCUGCUUCUAAAACACUGAGAGAUACUAACAGACGUCCAAUAAAUAUGUUCUGAUGGCAAAUCAAAUGGAAGAAAAGAGGAAGCAUGACUGCAGACCAGAUCAGUUCUCUUUGUGGAUUACAUUUUCAGUAAAAUUGGGUUUAUUUGUGAGAUGCCCGGCUGGAGUUAGAAAUGCAGUCUGUGACUGUGGAAUCCUAUGCAGAUAUUAACUGAGGCAGAAGAUCUGCAGAAUACAUCUGGACCCUCUUUACCCCAGUUUCAUCAUUUUGUAAGGACUAUGCAAAUGCAAUGAUCUCUCUGGCUCCUCUUCCCAUUCACCUCUGCAUCUACAUUUCUACCACCACUACUGAGACCGCUGCACUCUAGUCUGCAGUCUCAGCUCUGUCUGAGCUUCUGGGAUCCGUCAACCUUACACAGUUAACACCAUCAAACCUGGACUACAGUCCCUGAUCUCCUGUCCUCAGGGGUGGAUUUUCCAAUACACAAGUGUUGAGUAACAACCCAGCAGCACCUGGACCCAAGGCCUUCGGUUCCUCAGCAAAUGGAGGCGUCUACACCACGGCUACAAAGGACAAGCUUUUAACACCAACACUGCCUCACUGGAAAGCAAGAAUUCUGCUUCAAUAGCCAGUUGCAGACCUUCCACACAAUUUCCUAAAAGGCUGCAAUCCCAGUUAGAGCAGCAAAGCUCGAAAGUAAAUUUCUUUUCCCAACUCCUAGUAGCUGUGAUGGGUAAUUUUAGGUGUCAACUUAGCUAGGCUAUGGUGCCCUGUUUUUUGCUCUAACACCAGUCCAGAUGUUGCUGUGAAACUACUUUGUGGAUGUGACUAACUCUGACAAUUAGUUGACUUUAAGGAAAUUACCUCGAUAAUGUGUGUGGGCCUCUUCCAAUCAGUUAAGAGCAAAAACUGAGGUUUCCUGGAGAAGAACGAAUUCUGCCUCAAGACUGUAACACAGAAACCCUUUCUGAGUUUUCAGACUGCUAGGCUACCCUAGGGAUUUUGGACUUGCCGGAGGCCACAGUCAUGUGAAUCAGUUCCUUAAAAUAAAUCUCUCUCUUUCUCUGCCUAUAUGUAUCUAUAUAUCUAUGUCUAGACACAGAGAGAGAGACCCCCAAUUGGUGCUGGUCCUUUGAAGAACCCUGACUAGUAUCUGUUUAAAAAUAUAGACUACUCACUAAUUCUAGAAAUAACACAGAGACUAUGUUCACCAGCAUCUCAAAUAAUGUAAGUUUUUGUUCUACUACUUAGGAAUAUAAACUAGAAAAAUAAUCUCAUAAUAGAUUCAUGUAAUUCUUCUCUGGACAAAUUUUUGAGAAAUGAAAUGCCUUUCUCUGUAAUUGAAAUGAAUCAUUCGUUUCCUAUGGAAACUUCCUACACAUCAAAUUGCACACGCAGUGAUUUUCAAAAAUUGAUUUCCACCUAAAGAGAGAUUUCCACCACUGGAGGUGCUCACUCAUUUAUGACAAGAAAUUUGGAAGACAGCUACCUGGCCAACUAACUGGAAGAGAUCCAUAUUUCUGCCUAUUCCAGAGAAAGGUGAUCCAGAAAGUAUCGAACAAGGUCAUUAAUAUCACACACAAGUAAAAUUUUGCUGAUGAUAAUUCAAAAAUAGUUGCUGCAGUACAUUUGCAGGGAACUUCCAAAAAUUCAAGCCAGAUUCAGAAAAGGACAUGGAACCAGUGAUAUCAUUGCUGAUGUCAGAUGGAUCUUGGCUGAAAGCAGAGAAUACCAGAAAGAUCUUUACCUGUGUUUUAUUGACUAUGCAAAGAUAUUAGUCUGUGUGGAUCAUAACAAAUUAUGGAUAACAUUUUGAAGACUGGGAGUUGCAGAACACUUCAUUGUCCUCAUGAGGAGCUGCACGAAAGGCAGUCUUUCAAACAGAACAAGGGGAUACUAUGUGGUUUAAAAUAAGGAAAGGUGUGCAUCAGGGUUGUAUCCUUUCACCAUACUUAUUCAAUCUAUAUGCCAAGCAAAUAAUCCGAGAAGCUAGACUAUAUGAAGAAGAAUGCAGCAUCAGGCUUGCAGGAAGACUCAUUAAUAACCUGCGAUAUGCGGAUGACAUAUGUUGCUUGCUGAAAGUGAAGAGGAGUUGACGCACUUACUAAUGAAGAUCAAAGGCUAUAGCCUCCAGUAUGGAUUACACCUCAACAUAAAGAAAACAAAAAUUCUCACAACUGAACCAGUAAGCAACAUCAUGAUAAACGGAGAAAAAGUUGAAGUUGUCAAGGAUUUCACUUUACUUGGAUCCACAACACCCAUGGAAGCAGCCGUCCAGAAAUCAAACGAUAUGCUGCAUUGGGUAAAUCUGCUGCAAAAGACCUCUUUAAAAGUGUUAAAAAGCAAAGACAUCACUUUAAGGACAAAGGUGAGCCUGAACCAAGCAAUCAUAUUUUUAAUCACGUCAUAUGCAUACAAAAGCUAGACAAUGAAUAAGGAAGACCAAAGAAGAAUUGAUGCCUUUGAAUUCUGGUGUUGGUGAAGAAUAUUGAAUAUACCAUGCACUGCCAGAAGAACAAACAAAUCCGUCGUGGGAGAAGUACAGCCAGAAUGCUCCUUAGAAGGGAGGUUGGUGAGACUUUGUCUCACCUACCUUGGACAUGUUAUCAUGAGGGACCAGUCCCUGGAAAAGGACAUCAUGCUUGGUAAAGUAGAAGGUCAGAAAAAAGAGGAAGACCCUCAGAGAUGGACUGACAGUGGUUACAAUGAUGGGCGCAAGCAUAGCAAUGAUUGUGAGGAUGAUGAAGGACCAGGCAGUGUUUUGUUCUAUUGUAUACAGAGUAACUAUGAGUCAGAACAAACUUGACAGCACUUAACAACAACAAAAAGAGAGAUUUAAUAUUAUAUGAACACACACAUUUCUGUGCAAUGAUAAUUUGGACUCUGAAGAAAACAUUAUUCUGUAUGGUCAUGGCUCUGCUCUAAUCUUUCCCUAUGCAUCAGGAAAACCACUUCGCCAGCCUUGAGAAGAAAAGUAAAUGUUUAGGGGAAAUGCCUGGUCUUAAGUGAGCAGUCUAUAUGGAACCUUUGUAAUGCAAGCCCAGUAAUCUAUAGUGAUGGUCGGGGGAGAGAGGGGCCAAUCAGUUAUGUAAAAUGGGUCAAUGAUAACCAAAGGCCAGUAAGUGGCAAUAUUUCCACUGUGAAUAAGUCAGUUGUAAUUAAAAAUGAGUCAUAUUUGAUAAAGCAUUUGUAAGAUUCUCAUAAUAUACAUAUAUUUAUUAUUUAUUUAAUAUCUAGAUUAUGUUUAAUAUAAUAUUAUUUUAGUACAUGUAUGGUAAGAAAAUAACUUUUUCCCAAAAAGUCAAUUGUCCCAAUACCAUUGAUUGAAUUACCUGUCUUUUCCCCGAUGAGUUGAAAUACCAUCUUUACGGAGUUCUAAACUCUUAUUAAAUUCUAAAUUCUUACUAUAUUAUCCAUUGUCAGGGUCCCCACUGGGAAAUGAUUCAUGAACAUGGAGCUCUAAUGUGUUAUACUGCAAAGGAUAGUGCUGUGUAUAACCAUUUUAGGCAAAGUUUCCAACCCUUUCUCAAAAAAAAAAAAGAUUUGAUAUAUAGGAAUUAAAUACGAAUGGACAUAAUUUCCCUUUUUGAAUUAUGACUUUUAAUUAUGUACUGCAACUGCCUUACCUAUAGAAUGUUAUUAUUUAGAAACUUUAUACACCACUUAGGCACAUUUUGCUUAAAUAGCUGAGAUGAUUCUUUCUCUAUUCAAACCCAUGAGAUUAAAUCCUAUUAAAGCAAUUCACAUUAGUGUCAUUAGGAAGAUAAUCCUAUUUGGCCUACAUACAGUUCAUUUCUUUCUUUCUUUUUUUAAUAGUACAACUUAGCUAUGUGCUUCUUUUCACAAAAGAGGGAAAAAACACAGAAAGAGGGGACUAUCUAGAAAACACUGUCUCUCCUGCUAUUUCUGCCUUUACAUCAAGCAUUCAGAAGUGUGAUUUUUCACAGCAGCCAAUUCCUAUAGAAUAAAUCGAUAACAAAGAGCAGUUGUUGUUGUUAAGUAUCAUCACGUCGAUUUAGACUCACAGCAACCCCACAUGACAGAGUAGAACUGCCACAUAGGGUUUUCUAGGCUGUAAUCUUUACAGUAGCAGAUCACCAAGUAUUUCUCCAGCAAAGCCAGUUGGGUGGGUUUGAACUGCCAGUCUGAUUAGCAGCCAAGCACUUAAUGUUCAUGACACCAGGGCUCCUUAGUUAGCAGUUAGACAUCAUUUAAUAAAAUAAUUUACCUGCCGAAAUUCUAUUCUGUGAAUAGUGUCAUACUCUGCCUUUUACCUAAAUAAAGAUCCACAGUCUUUUCAUACUUUGGAACACUUCGGUUGGUGGGGAAGAAAAUGAGUCUGGUUUGAAUUUAGGCCUUGAGUCACCUGGAGGAGUCUGAGAGGUGCUGCCAGUCUCUCAAAAUGUUUCAUGGUUCCUCCAUGAAAUGAGAAAUCACUCUGACCCGUUCUACAGUUAACUCUGGGGUUGGUUCAAUAUUAGUGCUCUUCCUCCAAAUAAAACUUAAUUCCCAACUCAAUAAAUUCUUCAAAAUGAAAUUCAAAAAAAAGAAAAAGAGGGAUGUUUCCAGAUAUGCUUAAUACUUUUCCUUCUGUGAAAAUGUGCAGAAUAGUUAUAUCUAUAUUUUCCUGGAUAUUACACCAGCUUCCUGACUAUGUUGUCAUGUGCUAAAACUGUUAAAUUAAAUCAUAUGGCAAAAGCUCCACUAAACAUACAGUAGUGAGCCAAAGUUGAGGGAUAAGAAGGAGAACAUUCAAUCAAUUGCUUUCAAAUACACUGAAAGGUCUUAAUUCACAUGAAAAAUGUAGUUCUAGUAAAGACACAAAGGAGAUUAUGAGCCCUGAAUCCAGGCAUCUUCUCUUCCCAUUCCCCAACCUCCUGGCUCCCUGAAAUUUUUAUCUCCAUCUUACUCAUCCAUGGUUUCUCUGCUUCAGUAUCAAAAGGAAAAAAGCCUCCUCCUACAGAAGACAGCCCACUCUCUGGCACCCUCUAUGUGCCAAUAUGGUAGCUUGCUUCAACAACUCUUGUUCUUCCUACCUACCUUUGCCUCUUUAUGGACUCCCUGAUUUUGGCCUAUAACAUUCAUGUCCCAUUGAAAAAAACUACCUCACUUCUUCCUGUUUAUCACACCUUAUUUCUGUCCCUCAAGCUUCUAGAAAGAGCUUGUAUUCUGACUUCAUUUUCUCACCUACUUUUUCUGCGGUUCACUAAAGCCUGUCAUUUGUUUUUAGAACACCACUGAAACUGUUCCUGCUAAAGACCCAGUUGUCAAAUUCAAUAAAUUAUUUUCUUUUCUUGCAUUGUCUGAUCUCUCUGUAAACUUUAACACUAUUAACUAUAUGCUUUCUAAUGUUUUCUUCCCCGUCUACUUUUUAGAUAUAUAUUUUUCUAAACAUACAUUAAAUGAGUAUAGUAGUCAGCUAUAGCUUGGUCUAUCCAACUUUUCUCUUGCUUUCCUCUGAAAACUCCGGCCCCGACAUCCUCAGGGAACUUCUGCUCUCCUCCCCUCUUCCGUUCUAACGUGUAAUGCAAUGGAAGCUGCCACAUUUUUACAUAACCCACUUUGUACUCUACCGCAUGUCAUUUGCCCAAGAUGGACCAUUCAAAAUUCUUUUCCUGGAAUUUUCUAAUCAGACUCAAGGGAGAUUUUUUUUUUUCCUGGUAAUAAAACAUGUAAGAUGUGAAGCUGGGAGGUAUAAGCAACAUGGAUUCUGCCUCAUGAAAUAUGUCAAACUGAAACAGAAGAACACAAAAUGGAAAGAUAGAAAAACAAUAAAAGCAACACUCAACAGUAUUCAUGCCACUGGUUCCAUGCAUCCACAAAACCAGCUACGUAUCUUUUUUCCCUUUCUACAUUUUGGUUAUAAUAAAUAGUAAAUUUCCCAUUUGUGCUUAAACUAUGUAAGUUCUGAUUUUAUCACUUAAAACCAAAAGAUUUCUGACCGAUGCAAUGAAUAGAACAUAAUACUUACCAUUAGUUUUAACGAAGAAACAGAGGAGGAAGUUAUAGAGUAUUUAGUAGAGAGAAGAUAAGGCAAAGUCAUAGAGGACAGUGUAGGCCAUGAUAAGGAGUUUGAAGUCUCCGAUGGGAAGCAAAUUUGGAAGAUUUUGAUCAGGGAUGAUACAAUAUAAUUUGCACUUUGAAAAGUUGAAUCUUAUUGCUGAAUGGAAAACAAAUUAUAGUUGAGGUGGGAGGGGGAAGGGUCAAGUAUGAAACAUCUGAGACUAGUUACAAAGCUGUUACAGUAAGAGUAGUGGUUUACACUAGGGUGAUGGCAGUAAAGAUGCCGAGAAGUAGUUGGAAUCUGAGUUAUUUGGGCAGUAAAACUAAUAGAACUUUCUGGAAGAGUAAAUUAUUUCCUUAGUAUAGAUUUCCAGGGGUGGAAAUUUUGGAUUAGAGAAUACGAAUAUUCAUAAAACUCUUGGAAAAUUGACAAAUGUCUAUUUUAAAUGAAUGUACCAAUUUGUGAAUCCUGCAUAAAGAGGCUCAUUUCACCCCACUUUUAAACAUCACUGAGUAUUCUCAUGAUUUUAAAAAACUCUUCGCUAAUUAGAUAAGCAAGCAAAAAGAAAAUGGUAUCUCAUGCUUGUCUUAAUUGCACUUAAUUUGUAAUACUGAAAAAAUAAUUCUCAUAUAUGGACUAUUUCCUUUGCACUAAAAUUAUCAGUUCUUCUCUUUUGUCAUUUACCUGUUGGGGGUCUUA